rnacentral:rRNA from 1 species
GGUCUUCUGAUUGUAAAGUUCUUUUAUUUAGGAAAAAAAGCUUGAGAGGAAAUGAUUAAGCCUUGAUUGUACUAAAUGAAUAAGUGACAGCUAACUAUGUGCCAGCAGCUGCGGUAAAACAUAGGUCACGAGCAUUAUCCGGAUUUAUUGGGCGUAAAGGAAGCGUAGGCGGACAAAUUGAUCUAUUGUUAAAGGCACUUGCUCAACGAGUUGUUUGUGAUAGAUAUCGUUUGUCUAGAAUUAGUUAGGAGAUACUGGAAUUCAAUGUGUAGCGGUGGAAUGCGUAGAUAUAUUGAGGAACACCAGAGGCUAAGGCGAGUAUCUAGGACAUAAUUGACGCUGAGGCUUGAAAGCGUGGGGAGCAAAUGGGAUUAGAUACCCCAGUAGUCCACGCCGUAAACGAUGGGUAUUAGGUAUUUGGUUUAGGACUGAGUGCUGUAGCUAACGCGUUAAAUACCCCGCCUGGGUAGUAUAUAUGCAAAUAUGAAACUCAAAGAAAUUGACGGGGACCUG